UUUGUAUUCUCUCCGUUCGGAAUUACUUGUCGCGGAAAUGAAUGUAUCUAGAUGUAUUUCAGUUUUAGAUACAUCCAUUUCCGAGACAAGUAAUUCCGAACGGAGGGAGUACUAC
rnacentral:pre_miRNA from 1 species